CUCUACAAAUCACAUUAACAAGCACCAAGUUCUUACGCAAACACAAGAGGGACUCGCUUCACUCAAGCACUCACGUUUCUAGCCGUUUCACAACACAAGUGGAACCUUUCACUUGUGAUGUUCAAAGUUGGUGGUCUACUCUCUUAUUGAGAGGAAAAUGGUGUUUCUACGUAUAGUCUAUUACAAAAGAAAUGGGAAAUGACACCUUUACCCUAAAUGAAGGGGUUGGGUUUGGAGUGUAUAAAUGGGGCUUCCUUGUAGUGUUUUUAUGACACUCAAGGCAUGUCUUCACACUUUAAUACAUACACUCCCUUGGAAAAACUUAAGACAUGCUCAAACACAUCCAUCUUUAUGAAUGUGCCUUGAAGAAAUUUUAGUUCCCGAGCUUGGCUCCUAGGGAAUGGUCUUGAGCUCUCGAUACCCGUUUGCCACCCUUUUGCAAAGGUUUUCACACUCUUCCCUCUUCUUGGAUAUGGUUCGAGUAUGGCUUCUUGUGCUUGUACCCUCUUUGCACUCGUAUCACUUGUAAUCCUUGUUCUCUUUACGCUUGUAUCAUCCUCUCCAUCUUGAAAGGAAUUUGUCCUAAAAUUUACACCUUGCAAAACAAAAGAGAGGGACCUAAGAACACAAUCCUCAUGCUAUGAGGGUUAGCAUUAGUGUCACAAAUUAUUUAAUCAUGCUAAGGGGGUACACUUUUGGAAUACAUCCAACAAUCCUUUGUUAUGAUCAUGAAACACCUACUACAAGCAUCACAAAGGACUUGGCUAAGAUAGACAUCAAGGGAAGAGGAGUGCAACACGAGACCAUCACAUAUAUCAAUAAGCCAAGGUUGUUCACAUUUGAAAUACAUCCACAGGUCGUUUGUGUGUGAAAUGAAAAACAUAGCAUGAAUGGGACAAAGGAUAUGGUUUUGGCAAAUACCAAGAGAUAAGGAAACCACAAUGGUGUUGAUGUCCUUAAUACACCCAAAAAGUAAGACUAACUUUGACUUAGGAACCAUAAGAUACAUUUGUUUCAUUACCUCCACAAAGAACCUCAUCAAAUAUGGCGCCACUAUUGAUCCUAAGGUCCAACUUACCCACAUAUCAUUAUCAUUCAAACAAGGAAACCAGCCACCAAACUUACUACCUCUACACAAUACACAUUCAAAAUUAACAUGGUUAUCAUCAUAGGUAAAGAAGUAGUAUAGGAAGGAAUCAAGUGUGAAGACUUCAUGCCGAGGGAGUACACAUUUAAAAUACAACCUGCAAUCCUUUGUUUUGACAAUGAAACAUUUAGUAUAAGCAUUAAAAUGAUAGGGAUAAGGAAAACAUAAAAGGGGAAAGAGCACAAACUAAGACAAUUCCUUUCCCACCCCACUAAUGCACCAGGAUCAAAUGGAUGAAGUAGCCAAGUGCAUAAGCUGAGGCUACUCAUUCCUUUUACUAGAGAAUCAAGCCCACAAUCACCCAAGGCAUUCCUCAUAACUUUGACAUACACAUGAUCAUUAUGAACAAGAAUAAUAUCAUAGAUUUCGUCACACAAGUUCAAAGGACCAUAUUCAUUAUCUAGAUCAACAUUACGAGCAUCAACACUAACUUGAAAAUUUUUAAUCAUACCAUUUACAUGUUCAAGUAGUGAGCUACUCUUAGGAUCACAUUGAUCAUUAUACACACCUGAAAUACUACCAAGGAAGGAUGCUUGUACUUCUACACUAUCUGUACCCAAAACCACAUCAACUUGGCUACUAAUAUCCAUAUCACAACUUUUUAAACAUAAGGGAGUGUAAAGUGUACCAAUUUUACCUUGGUUUGUACUAGGGCAUCCCACUUGCAUUGAAUUCUCGUCCAAGAACGCAAUUGGAACACCAACAUGUUUGGGAUGGAUUUAUUUUGGAUUUUCCUUUGGGAAUAUCUCAUCUUGUACCUGCACAUAAAAAGAACCAAUGCUAGGAAAAAUGCUAGCACUUGGGUUAGUGAGUAACAAGGGUUCUUUGUGGAUAAAAUCCACAAUCAAGCAUUUUUUCCCCUUUCCACUUUACUACCCAUGGAUUCCCUUUCACUUUCCCUCUUUUAUUUACAUUCUUCUUGUUCCUCACCAUCAAAUUUCUGUCUAUCUUGAGGCUUUGACUCAUUCUCCUUGGAGUCUAACUCUCCCUCUUUUUCUACUUAGACGGGGUAUUUACGGGUUAGUGUAGCUUGGGAAGGAGACAUUGGAUUUAGUAGAGUGUAGGGUCUUUGAACUGGAGGAUUUUGGAGUGGAGGAUUCUGGUUUAG
rnacentral:lncRNA from 1 species